CGUGUAGGCGGAGAAGUAAGUCGGGCGUGAAAUCCCCAGGCUCAACCUGGGAACUGCACUCGAAACUACUUCCCUUGAGUGUCGGAGAGGAAAGCGGAAUACCUGGUGUAGAGGUGAAAUUCGUAGAUAUCAGGUGGAACACCAGUGGCGAAGGCGGCUUUCUGGACGAUAACUGACGCUGAGACGCGAAAGCGUGGGGAAGCAAACA
rnacentral:rRNA from 1 species